rnacentral:lncRNA from 1 species
CAUUGCUGAGCUUUGAUUCAAGUUAAAGUCAGCUGUUUUUGAUGAAUUAGGCAACGAAACAACAACAGGAGCCGGCCGGAGGAAUAUUGAUGAUGAUCCAUUAUAAUAACUUUGAUUUCCUUGUCUAAGGAUUGGACUUUCUAUUGGGUUCUCUGGCCCAAAAUUUACUGGCACAGAUGUCACCUGAAAUGCAUUCAUUUUUGAUGUUUCUAUACAAGGCAAUGAUGGAAUGGAGUGUCGUUGCAGAUUUUUCGUUUCUUCUGUUGCUAGUACAGAUACCUGUUUUUGUCAAAGAAGUAAAGUUUAGGAACUGAAAAGCCAAGCAAAUUAAUCUAUUGAAAUUUGGGGAUUUGAGUCACAUACCGAGUCAGUGGUGAUAUCGAAGAGGCUAGAACGGCGGCGCCGGCGAUUGAGGUUAGUUCGCCGGAGGAAAUAUUUCUGAGCAUGACUUGCAACCUGUGUCGGUGUGCGAGUUUUUACGAAGUUUCUAGAGAUUCCUCUCCAGUCUCCUUUUCCCACUUUCUGCAAUCCCAAAAGGAAUAGCUUGUGCUCUUCCUCCGUCCAUGGAACUCCUAAAAAAAAAAAUUCAUAACACAAAAAUCAUUACUAAUUGAAAUCCAGUGACUAAAGGAGAGGAUAAAUGAUCGAGUAACACGUUGACUUGUAAAACAAUGAAAAAACAGUUUCCACAGAACAAAGAAAUUCGAAUACAAAGAGUAACUUAGAUAAUCAGAGAUCUAACCUCGCUUACGCUCACGGCCACUACCGGAGUGGUGAGGAACAGCGUCGUCGGCAGAGGCAUAACCCUCGUCGGCGGCAACUUUAGAAGCGUCAUUGUUAUUUCCGCUGUUGCUAUUAUUAUUAUUAUUAUCAUUAGAAUUAGGCUGCUCAUACUGAGACAGAUUGUUCAAACUCACGCUUUUCCUCAUAGGGUCUACCUUCACCCUCACGCCAAACAGCAUGAUCUCUCCUCCUCCUCCUACGCCUCCGCCGACAGACACGGCUGCCGGCGAUGACUCGCCGGCGCAGGUG